UAUUACGAACCACAGUUUAAAAUUCAAAGAUCUUGGCGGUGUCUUAUAAAACCAGGGGAACCUGUCUCAUAACUCGAUAAUCCACGAUUACCUAACCUCUUUUUGACUAAUUCAGCCUGUAUACUGCCGUUGUAAGCAUACCUUUAAAAGAUAAAGUAUGCAACUAUGAUUAACCAAAAUCGUUAAACCAUAUACAUCAGGUCAAAGUGCAGUAAAUGAAGAGGAGACAAUGGGUUACAACCUAAAAAAAGAUAUGGAUUAAAAAUUAAAAAAACUAAGAAAGUGGACUUGACUGUAAUUAAAAAAUACAAAAAAAAAUGAAUAUAAAUCUAAGACAUGUACACAUCGCCCGUCACUCUGCCCUAAAGGAUARAUAAGUC
rnacentral:rRNA from 1 species